AUUGAACGCUGGCGGCAGGCCUAACACAUGCAAGUCGAGCGGAUGAAUGGAUCUUGCUUCUGGAUUCAGCGGCGGACGGGUGAGUAAUGCCUAGGAAUCUGCCUUGUAGUGGGGGAUAAAGUCCGGAAACGGGCGCUAAUACCGCAUACGGCUUGCGGGAGAAAGUGGGGGAUCUUCGUACCUCUCGCUAUCAGAUGAGUCUGGGUCGGCUUAGCUAGUUGGUGGGGUGAAGGCCUACCAAGGCGACGAUCCGUAACUGGUCUGAGAGGAUGAUCAGUCACACUGGAACUGGGACACGGGCCAGACUCCUACGGGAGGCAGCGGUGGGGAAUAUUGGACAAUCGGCGAAAGCCUCAUCCAGCCAUGGCGCGUGUGUGAAGAAGGUCUUCGGAUUGUAAAGCCCUUUAAGUUGGGAGGAAGGGCAGUAAGUUAAUACCUUGCUGUUUUGACGUUACCAACAGAAUAAGCACCGGCUAACUUCGUG
rnacentral:rRNA from 1 species